rnacentral:rRNA from 1 species
GAAGGGGGCGAGCGUUGUUCGGAUUUACUGGGCGUAAAGGGCGCGCAGGCGGCGCAUCAAGUCAGGCGUGAAAGCCCCGGGCUUAACCUGGGAACUGCGUCUGGGACUGGUGGGCUAGAGAUCGGGAGAGGAGAGUGGAAUUCCCAGUGUAGAGGUGAAAUUCGUAGAUAUCGGGAAGAACACCAGUGGCGAAGGCGGCUCUCUGGACCGAUACUGACGCUGAGGCGCGAAAGCGUGGGGAGCAAACAGGAUUAGAUACCCUGGUAGUCCACGCUGUAAACGAUGUGUGCUAGACGUUGGGGAGCCUAGCUCUUCGGUGUCGCAGCUAACGCUUUAAGCACACCGCCUGGGGAGUACGGCCGCAAGGUUA